AGUGGACGCUGGCGGUGGGCCUAACACAUGCAAGUCGAACGGCAGCACAGUAAGCGCGUGCUCUUACGGGUGGCGAGUGGCGGACGGGUGAGGAAUACAUCGGAAUCUACUUUUUCGUGGGGGAUAACGUGGGGACACUUACGCUAAUAGCGAAUACGACCUACGGGUGAAAGCAGGGGAUCUUCAGACCUUGCGCGACUGAAUGAGCCGAUGCCGGAUUAGCUAGUUGGCAAGGUAAAGGCUCACCAAGGCGACGAGCCGUAGCUGACCUGAGAGGGUGAUCGGCCACACUGGAACGUAUACACGGUCCAGACUCCUACGGGAGGCAGCAGUGGGGAAUCUUCCGCAAUGGGCGAAAGCCUGACGGAGCAACGCCGCGGAAGUGAUGAAGGUCUUCGGAUCGUAAAACUCUGUUAUUAGGGAAGAACAAAUGUGUAAGUACCUAUGCACGUCUUGACGGUACCUAAUCAGAAAGCCACGGCUAACUACGUG
rnacentral:rRNA from 1 species